AUACGGAGGGAGCAAGCGUUAUUCGGAAUCAUUGGGCGUAAAGGACGCGUAGGCGGGUUUGUAAGUCAGGUGUGAAAUCCUACAGCUCAACUGUAGAACUGCACUUGAAACUACAGACCUAGAGUAUGGAAGGGGCAGAUGGAAUUAGUGGUGUAGGGGUAAAAUCCGUAGAUAUCACUAGGAAUACCGAAAGCGAAGGCGAUCUGCUGGGACAUUACUGACGCUGAGGCGUGAAAGCGUGGGGAGCAAACAGGAUUAGAAACCCCAGUAGUCC
rnacentral:rRNA from 1 species